GAUGAACGCUGGCGGUGUGCCUAAUACAUGCAAGUCGAGCGAACACACGAUAAGCUUGCUCCCCUGAGGUUGGCGGCGGACGGGCGAGUAACACAUACAUAACCAUCCUAUAUGACUGGGAUAACUUCGGGAAACAAGAGCUACUAAUGCAGAAUAUAUUGAACGGCAUGGUUCAAUAGUUAAAGACGCCUUUGCUGUCACUUAUAGCUGGAUCCGCGCCGGAUUAGCUAGUUGGUAAGGUAACGGCCUACCAAGGCGACGAUGCGUAGCCGACCUGAGAGGGUGAUCGGCCACACUGGAACUGAGACACGGUCCAGACUCCUACGGGAGGCAGCAGUAGGGAAUCUUGGACAAUGGGCGAAAGCCUGACGCAGCCACGCCGCGUGGGUGAUGAAGGUCUUCGGAUCGUAAAACUCUGUUAUUAGGAAAGAACAACUGUAGAUGAAACUAUGCCCGUUCUGACGGUACCUAAACAGAAAGCAACGGCUAACUUCGUG
rnacentral:rRNA from 1 species